GACGAACGCUGGCGGCGUGCUUAACACAUGCAAGUCGAACGGAAAGGCCUAGCUUGCUGGGUACUCGAGUGGCGAACGGGUGAGUAACACGUGGGUGAUCUGCCCCUGACUUUGGGAUAAGCCUGGUAAACUGGGUCUAAUACCGGAUAUUCAUUUUUCCUCGCAUGGGGAUUUGUGGAAAGCUUUUGCGGUUGGGGAUGGGCCCGCGGCCUAUCAGCUCGUUGGUGGGGUAAUGGCCUACCAAGGCUACGCCGGGUAGCCGACCUGAGAGGGUGAUCGGCCACAAUGGGACUGAGACACGGCGCAGACUGCUACGGGAGGCAGCAGUGGGGAAUAUUGCACAAUGGGCGCAAGCCUGAUGCAGCGACGCCGCGUGAGGGAUGACGGCCUUCGGGUUGUAAACCUCUUUCAGCUCCGACGAAGCGCAAGUGACGGUAGGAGCAGAAGAAGCACCGGCCAACUACGUG
rnacentral:rRNA from 1 species